UUGUUUUGGUUUCGACCGUAGUGUCGUCCCUCCGAAUAAUGCUCCGAUUCCAAGGCCCUAUAUAGAGCUCCGAUGGUAUAUAGGGCCUUGGCUCCGAUUCUUAAGCGGCGCCCUGCUCUGGGCUGAAGUUUGGACAAGUCGAUUUUGAUGUGUAAAACCGGUCGGUUAUUUGCUUGGAUGUUUUUUUGUCGAUCAUCGGCAGCGCAAGAUAGAACCUUUUUCGUGUGAUGUUCCAUUUUGAUUCUUCGUGACCCAGGCUUCCAUUUUCAAGCAAAAAUGGUGUUAAUAACUGAGGAGCUGGUCCGGAAGCGGGCCGAACACAAUGAGAAAGAGAUCUUCAGCUUGGAGGAGCUGUCGCUACACCAGUGCGAUGUGGAACGGAUUCAGCACUUGGAUCGAUGGUGUCGCCGUCUGCGCAUUCUCUACCUGCAGUCGAACCUCAUCGAGAAAAUAGAAAAUGUGAGUCGUCUCAAGGAGCUGGAGUACCUGAACCUGGCGCUCAACAGCAUCGAGCGCGUGGAGAACCUGGAGGGCUGCGAGAGCCUGACCAAGCUGGACCUGACGCUGAACUUCAUCGGCGAGCUGACGUCCGUGGCCAGCCUCCAGCACAACGAGCACCUCCGGGAACUGUACCUGACGGGUAAUCCGUGUGCCGACUACGAGGGCUACCGGGACUGGGUGGCUGUCACCUUACCCCAGCUGCAGACCCUGGACGGUACCCGGAUAGAACACUCGGAGCGGAUCACGGCCCGGCAGCGCUUCUCCGCAGUGCAGGACGAGAUCAUACAGCAGCAGAAAUGCUACCUGGAGAAACGAAGAAAACAAAAGGAAUCUGAUCGAGAAGCUAAACCCGAAGUAAAUGUUGAUGAGAUGACUGAAGAGGAAAGGAAAAAAUUCUGGUCGGAGACCACCGCUUACACGCCCGAGUCUCGACGCGAGCUGCACCGUCAGGUGGCGGCCUCGCGGGCGGUACCUCCGCCUCCCGAGCGGCCGCCGUGGGAGGCGCCGCCGCGUCCCAUCCGGCUGGUGACCGACGACGGCCGGCCGCUGAACGUCAACCCGACCGGACUGAAAUUCGAACUGGAAGAUGACGAGGAGCAGCACCGGCUCGUGCUCAGACUCGAUCUGUAUAAACACCUGGACACCUCGCUACUGGAGGUGGACGUGCAGCCCACGCACGUGACGGUGCUGGUGCGCCAGCGGCCCUUCCAGCUGGUCCUGCCGGAGGAGGUUCUCACGGACUCCAGUACCGUGCAGCGGUCCCAGGUCACCGGUCAACUGGUGGUCACCAUGCCAAAGUUCGCCGAGCGACCAAAGCGGACACCGUCUCGGCGACCACCGGCUGCCCCGGUGUCCAAGCCGGCACCAUCGGCAGCACCACCAGCGCCAGCCGCACCAGCGGCGGAAGAUCACCAUCCGGAGGUGCCGCCGCUCAUCUGACCGUCUGGUUGUCCCAGCUGGAGAGGAGCAGCUCUUACGGAUGCUACUGAUCUCUCUGAAGGUCGAGUUGAUCGAUGGAGAGAUAACAGUUUGUCAGAUGGCAAAGGACCUGAAAUGAUGGAAUGAUGUCCAAUAGCCCGCAACACAUCGAAAUCCGCAACCAAUGUCCCUGAAGACCGGUAGCCACUGUUUUACACAUCGCCGUAACAUAUUGGGCUCAUGGAGGUUUGGGUCCCGGAUGCAUGCCAGCGGUGAAUUAUUUCGGCAAUGUUCAACUAGCCAAUACCUAGUUAAAGUUAACCAUACACUCGCUUUGCUAAAUAAAACUGCAUGCGGUGCUUCCCUAGCAUUCCAAGGCAGCCCAAGUCCAAUGUCCACCCUCCUCUGGGUCUAGCGUCACCUUCAAGCAAGUGCAACCAUGCAACAAGCGCAAAGAACUCGGGUUGUAUUUCCUGCAUCUCAUUUGAUAAUGUGCUUCUACAUAAGUGAACCAAACAGGGUUGGAGCUCUUCAUCGAGCGUGGUCUAAGGGGUUCUACUUUCUACUACCGCAAGCAGUCUAGACCCGUUUAGUCCCUCUGGGUGGUGCGGGGAGCUCUAGCUGCGGGUUGGGUAAGUACGGUCCCGGGUUUCUCGGUUAAUCGGGUCGCUGUUGACAUGCAUGCAACCAGUCGUGACCGGGCAUGGGGGAGGGGUAUUAUACUGAACCAGUCUGGUCGAGGAAAGAUGCAAGUAGUUAGGUCAGGCAGGUCGGGGCGGGCAGUCGGUUAGACCAAAGGCUUAAAAAGGUUGCCUGGUGUUCUAUCCAAGCGAUGGGAAGUGCAGCAGCCAAAGCUGACGGUAAUGUUUUCGGCGUGAGACCACGGAAGGAAGUGGUGAAUGGGUCUUCAGGGAGUCGCUACCAACACACGUUAGUCACUUUCAGCGGGGGGGGGGAGGUGUUAGUCAGGGGCGGGGCGGGUGGGUUUCAGCUGACCUGUUCAGACAAUGUGCGGAGGGUCCUCCCUUGGCGCCUGCAGAAAAGGUUUGAACUCAGUAUCCGCGUGUAAGGCAUCGGUACAGCCGAGGUCAACGCUAUUUGUCGAACAACCAAUGAAACACUAAUGGUAAUAUUUAUUCCGAAAAUAGGUACGCAAACCGUGAUGUUUUAGUUGCGGUUUACUGUGGUUAUAAACUACAUGUAUUUUAUCCUUUACUACUCAUAUUGCGGAUAUGAAAUUAAUCGCUGUAUUAUUGAAACAUGGCAUAGGUAAUGCCUAAAUCACUCUGGUAGGCACAUUGAUUAAUGCCUGAAGUGCCUGUCAAGCAUACAUUUGUGUAUGGCUUCAUUGUCACUCGCUACACUCGCUAUUUGUCUGUCAUGCAUGAACGGCUAAUCAUUAGCCGUGAGUCAUGGUUUUAAAUUUAGCUUGUCUUUUAAGCUGCAAUUGUUUACUUUGACCGAAAUAACUAUAAAGAAAUAGCAAUCCUAUUUUUUCUGUGUUCCACUUGUGUUUACUGCUCCAUAACUCUUAGUAAUUUGUUUUACUUCUCAUUGCUUAUAUAAUCUACAUUGUUCUUGCUGAUUUCUGGAAUGUUUACACAAAUGACCGGUAAGUAAGGAGAUUACGUUCGUGCAAGGGAGGAUCCUCCGUUGCACCUUGCGCUGCUCCGUUGCACUGUCCGCGAACAACGAUCUUUUCGUGGGUACUUCGUGCCUCUGGAAAUCUAUUUUCGAAGUCGUUUCAAAGCAAAUUGGAAAACGGAUCUUGGCAGAUCAAGAUUCCACUCUACUACUUUCGAUUGACUGUUAAAUGACCAUCUAGGCGCGAACACAUACAAAUCACAACUUAUAUGAGGAAACGAUUAGUGGAAUUUUACCGUACGUGCAUGACCGUACUUAUGUGACUUCUCGUGAAUUGUUUGAAAUGGUAUCGUAGGUACUAUCAUUGACAUGGAGUGAAAGGUUUGGCAAAUGCAAUUCUUGUAAAUCGUUUUCACUUAUUGUUUAGGUGAAUGCGGUUUAUUUACAUGUUGUUAUUCCUGUUUCAUCGCUACAUCUUGGGAAUUAACUUUUGAUUAUUUUAUUUUUAUGAUAUUAGUUCAUUGUUUCAUUUCAAAAUAACAUAACGUCAUCUAUCAUCGGUUUGAAUAGUUGGGAUGAUUAUCAACAUGCAUUGCAUAUGCAGACAAGAAGAAAUAAUUGAACUGUAGGAAGACUGAAGGCAUCUAUCGAUGCCUUUGCGUCGUCCACACAAAACGUAGAUGUGCAGUAUGUCGAUGCAACAAUUGUUAUUUUCUGUACCUAAUGCUCUACAACAGUAGGGCGAAGUUCUGAAAAGGACAAAUAAACUCACAGUGUUCUUUGGACGGA